CUCUCUCUCUCUUCCGUUCUUCACUUCUCCUUUUCAUCUGCGGGCAACCCAACUCCUCCAAUCCCGAAUACAAGAAAUCUUAUCCUCCUGCUGAAGCUGAGUAUGAAGAAAUCGCUCAAAACCCAUAAUGUUUUCAACAAAAAGCUCAAGGGUUUUCAUGAAUCAUUCGGUACCAGGUUGAAGUAGAUACAAACAACACCCAACAACAACAAUCGACAAACCGAAGCUCGCAGCAACAAAUUGAACUUGAACACACUCGAUUGGGCUCCUAAAAUCAGGAACAAAAUCGAUUUCGAGAUAGAAAUUGGUUGAUUAGGGGGGUUGGUCGACGGGAAGGAGCGGGUGCGGUAGAGGUUGGAGCGGAUGGUGCGCAGGGAACGGCCAUGGCCAUGGAGUGGUGGGUUUUCGGGCAAGGGAAAGAGGAGGGACUGUAGAAGGGGUGGAGUGAAAAAAAUAUAUAUUUUAAUUGAAA